AGCCUCUGGUCGGGAUUGGCUGAAUGGGUGAGGUAGGCGGGGCCGGAGACUAUAAAUUGCAUGGGCGUGGCGGUGUCAGCGUUACUGUGGAGCGGCGCUCGUGGGAGCUGGUGGCGCUGCGGCUCCGCGGGCUGAGGCCGCCGGUGAGCGCUGGGAGCGGGAGCGCGGGGAGCGGGGCGGCGGGGCCGCUGCUCGCGAGCCCGCGGUUCGUGUCGGGGAGAGCGGCUGAGGGCAGGAGCGGCGCGGGAAGAUGCGGGGCGGAGGAGCGGGGCCCCGUCCCGCCGGCUGCUCCCUGCUGGGAUCGCGCAGCGGAGGACCUGCCCCUCAAGGUGAUAUCGGGACAGUGGUGACAGCUCGUAUUGAUGUGCGAGUGAUUGACAACCUUGUCAACAGCCCGCAGCGCCGCUGGGAACGCCGGGAGCAGCUGCCGGAGGAAGGAGCUGGAGCCAGGACAGAUUCUAGAGCUGAAGCUGAGACAGCACAGAGCUGAAAUCACUACGGGGAACGUAGGGCUGGAGCUGAAAUACAGAAUGUGGGCUGAAGCUCAAAUAAAGCUUGUGGGAAUAAUACUGGAGUUCAAAACACCACUCUAGGGUCAGAGCUGAAAAGUCACUGUAGGUCUGGAGCUGAAAUCUCACAGAGUUAUAAAAAAAAUAAAAAAAUAAAAAAUAAAGCUUAUGGGGAAAAAAAGGGGCUGGGACUGAAACAAAUCAAUAGGGAUGGGGCUUAAAGAAAGAUCUUGGGGCUGGAGCUGAAAUAAGGAUCUUGGGGAAGGGGCUGGAACUGAAACACCAUAGAGCAGGAGCUGAAAUAAAAUCUAUAGGGUUGGAGCUGAAAAAAAUCACUGUAGGGCUGGAGCUGAAAUAAAGCUUGUGGGAAUAAUACUGGAGUUGAAAAAAAUCACUGUAGAGCCAGAGCCAAAAUAAAGCUUGUGGGGAAAAACACUGGAGCUGAAAACACCACUGUAGGGCCUGAGCUGAAAGAAUCAGUGCAGGGCUGGAGCUGAUGAAAAAGCUUGUGGGAAAAUACCAGAGCUGAAAAAUCACUGUAGGGCCAAAGCUACAACAUCCCAGAGCUGAACUGCAGCCGGGAGCUGUGGAGCUGAGAGAAACCUGCGGGGCUGGAGCUGAACUGACGGAGACACAGAUCUGAAAUGAAGAAUGUGCAGCAUGGGUGGAGAUGAAAUAAAAGCUAUAGGGCUGGAGCUGAAAAAUCACUAUAGGGCUGGAGCUGAAAGAAUCAAAGCUGUAAGAAAAACACUGGAGCUGAAAAAUCACUGUAGUGCUGGAGCUGAAAUCUCACGGAGUAAAAAAAAAAAAAAAAAAAAAUAAAAGCUUAGGGGAGAAAAGGGGUUAGGACUGAAACAAAUAUGUAGGGAUGGGGCUUAAAUAAAGAUCUUGGGGCUGGAGCUGAAAUAAGGAUCUUGGGGAAGGGGCUGGAGCUGAAACGCCAUAGGGCAGGAGCUGAAAUAAAAUCUGUAGUGUUGGAGCUGAAAUAGAACACCUCUUCAGAUCUGGAGCUGAAAUAAAGCUUGUGGGAAUAAUACUGGAGUUGAACACACCUCUGUAGGUCUGGAGCUGAAAGAAACAGUGCAGGGCUGGAGCUGAUGAAAAAGCUUGUGGGAAAAUACCAGAGCUGAAAAAUCACUGUAGGGCUGGAGCUGCAACAUCCCAGAGCUGAACUGCAGCCGGGAGCUGUGGAGCUGAGAGAAACCUGUGGGGAUGGAGCUGAACUGACGGAGACAUGGAGCUGAAAUGAAGAAUCUG